UGAGCACUGGAAAAACAUCUUGACUAGCUUUGAUUAUGUGAACCUUUGCUGACAAAAUGAUGUAUCUGUAUUUUAAUGUACUGUCUAGGUUUGUCACAGCUUUCCUUCCAAGGAGCAAGUGUCUUUUAAUUUGCAGCUGCAGUUGCUGUCCACAGUGAUUUUGGA